UUCCCUGUUCCCGUCGCCACCGUGGACCGCCGCUCGAACGCCGGAGUUGCUACCGUUCCGGCGAGGCCCCGGCUCUCCCUUGCUGCCGCCGAGCUGCUGCCGCCUCAGCCGGACCUCCUUGCCGCCCGGCUGUGACCGAGAGCCUCGCAAUCGCCGCCGCCGCCGUUCCGACGACUUCCCCGCUGUCCAGCCUCGUUUUAUUGCUCAAAUCGAGGUCCGCGACCGUAGUUGAUUGGAGACCCUGCAAGGAUAAUCUCGAGGAUCGAAGACGGGUCAAGGACCCUGUAUUUUGAGUGACCCAUUUUGUAGAGUAGUUAAGUUGACGAACCACGGUCUCUUUUGUUGAAUGUGGUUCUGUCGUUUUUGGCCUAGUGGGCAGUUGUCUUUUGUGAACAUUGUAUGUAUCUACCAAGUGCAUGAAUUGCAAGUAUUGAAGUGUACUAUUGCU